GGCAGAGUGUUCACACUUCAGUUUCUCAAACCCAUUCCCCACUGUAGUCAAAUUGGUUCCCACUAUUCAUUAGAAAAUAUCUUCACACCUUUUUAACUGCAAAAAAGCAAAAACUUUCUAUGGGUUAAAGGCCAUUUACAGAAAAUUGAAUUCUUCCUUCUCUUUCCCUUUCAAAAGAAGGCUGAGGAGAAAUUUUUGUUUGAAGUAGCAAGGUGGCAGUCGGGAGUAGGAAUAACUGUAAUCUCCUCCUUGCGUUUGGAAAAUCCAAAGUCUUCUUUUUUCCUACAAAAAUCGAAAACCCUCGAUUUUGCAAUCUCGGCCUUCGUUUCAAACCACUUCAAAACUCAGUAAUCGUAUCACCCAAAAAUCACUGAUGUCCAGUCAUCGAAGAAAGGACGGUGACGAUUUAAGAGACAAAGAUCUUUACGAAGUUGGAAAGACAACGUACUCAAGAAGUUAGUGUGCGGCGCAUUGUACCUCAAUAUCGCUGUCGUGAACCAGCUCCUUGUCUAUGGCAGUACUUUGAGCAAAUUAUUGUUGACAAUGAAGGUCUGUUUCAAGAAUUACUUCACUUAAGAUCAUUUAUCCAUCAUUGACACAAGUGUGACCAUACAGAAUGGAGAAGAAGUAGGCAUCAAGCUGGUAUGCUUCAGGCAUUUGACUUGAUACAUUGUUGAAGGUGUAGAAUCAAUUGGACCACGAUGAUCACCAUUGGAUACUGGACAAUUGAACAACUGUGGGUGACAGAUUGAAGUUACUGGAACGAAGAAAAUGGCGAAAGGUUGAACAAUUGAAAAGUUGUGGAUGACAGAUUGAAGUUGCUGAAACGAAGAGAAUGGCAAAAGGUUUGCGGAAUUUUUCAAAGGAUCAAUUGACGAAAGAUGAUAUUAAAGUGUAUGUAGCUAUUUUGGAGAAGUCGAGUGGUGAUGUGUACCCUAAUGCCAGUUAGUGGUAUGAAAGUGUUCCAUUGAAGCUCACAGCUAAGUAAUUUAUUCCAUUGUAAUUUUGACUUCUUAUUCUUUUUAUUAUUUAUUAAUUCUUUGGGAUGUCGGACUAGCUUAUUCAGAGAAAAGUAAUGAAUUAAUAAUUCGACCUCUCAAGAGUAAAGCAAGUAUUGCUAAAGCGAAUCUAAGCCCUUUUUACAAUUGGGUAGUUUGAGAGUUGAUUAAGAGGCUGUUUGAGCCACAUUAUUUCAAAAAAAUACAUUUUUAAACAGUAAUUUGAUAUUAUUUCAACCACACAUUUUUCAAUAAAAUAAUAUUACAUGUAGAUCAAAAUUUUUUCCUUAUUUUUUAACCACACAUUUCCCAUCAAUACACUAUUCAAAAAUGCAUUAUUACCAAAAUAAUGUGGCUCAAACAACCCCUAAAUUUAGGAACGAAAGUCGUAAUCAUCACCGUGUGCCUAUUCAAGAAGCUUAUGCAUUUAUUUCACCAUUAGCACGUUUCUCCUACAUUUUUUAAAAAAAAAAAAAUCCGAAAUAUAAUCCUAUUUUCCCCCAAUAUUAUUUUUGUUAUUUUUUGUUAAAAACCCAAAAGAAGCUAUUUUUUAUUGUCUAUACUUAUUUAUGAGUAUCUCGGAAUUUUAGUUUUUAUUGACAACAUUUUAUGCAUAAUGGUAUAGCUAUCCUGAGAAGGCUGUUGGAGUCUGAGUUGGAAGCCAAGCUGCUCCUGCUGAAGAUGCACCAGUUAAGGAGGAAGCCAAGGUUUUUUUUUUCCCCCUAAACCCCAACUCAAGAAGAGCUGUAAUUUUUGGUGGCUGUUGACUGGUCGACAAUUUCAAGCAAGAAUAAUAAUGUUGUUCAAAACCCUGCUGGAUUUGCCCUUUUGGAAAACUUGGAUAAAGGCAAGCUAUCCAAAGUCGAGGAAUCACUGUCAAUACUAAUCUCUGUAUAUAUCCAUAAUGCUGGAUUUGGGGAGGACAACAUUAAUGCUGCUUGGCUAGGUAGACAAGGGAUUGCUUUGGCUUUACUUUCUGUGGCAGAUGAACUUCGAACCAAAGACCUUUCUAUUGUGAUGUACUAUUUCUGCAGUUACUGGGAGAGGCUUGAUCAAGGUUGAAGAUCAUGAUGUCAGCAGCAGCUUCUUUCCAUGCAUAGUUGCUGAGGAUGAUGUUUGCACCGAGAUCUGUAUGCUUGAGAGUAAAAUAGAAUUGGUUGUGACAGAUUCGCUCCCCCGAGGCACUGAAAAAUUAGAAGCACACAAUCAAGCCAUGAAUUUCAUCCAAGAAAUGGGAUGGCUUCUUUUCAAAAAUAGUUUGAAGUCUAGGUUGGAACACUGGGAUCAUAACUCAAAGUUCCCAUUUAAACUGUUCAAGUACCUCGUGAAGUUCUUUGUUGACCAUGAUUUGUGUGUCGUUUUAAAUAAACCCUUGGACAUUCUUUUCAGUUGAAUAGUGGGCGCAAGAGAGUUGCCUUUAUUGAA